rnacentral:lncRNA from 1 species
GUUUUCAAACUUAAGAAUUCACCCUAUGGUUUGAAAUAAGCUCCAAGUGUUUAUAGGUGUUUUUAGUAAACAAUAAGACUAGUUUUAAAAUGUUACUUGUAUGAUCAAACUAGAAAUUCUAGGGCAUGUCGCGCAAUAUUGUUCCCGAAAAUGUUUGAAUGUUCAUCAUAUUCAUAGUUUGUUUUAUGAGCAAGAUGAAUGAAACUGUUUUUAGGGUGAAGAUAAUUGUUUUUCGACAUAAAUCAAUAAUGUAAAACAAGUAAAAGACUUAAAAGUUUAAAUGCAAAAACUGAAAGAAAUGUAAAUUGUAUUGAAUUAAAGGUAGUUCAACAAAUCAAGUUACAUACAUUCCGACUCUUUUCUCUCUAUGCUUGUA